rnacentral:rRNA from 1 species
AGAGUUUGAUCAUGGCUCAGGAUGAACGCUGGCGGCGUGCUUAACACAUGCAAGUCGAGCGGAGUGAAUCAAGAGCUUGCUUUUGAUUGACUUAGCGGCGGACGGGUGAGUAACGUGUGGGCAACCUGCCUCAUACAGGGGAAUAAUCACCGG